AGGCGGAUUCUAUGCACAGAUGAUGAUCAAACCUAUUGAUCUCAUUCAGAUACUCAGGGAGAAGAUCUGAUAAAGCUGAAAAUUUAUCUUUAUUUUCUGCUCUGUGGACACAUGACAGUCCUGCAGGCACAAUCACAUCUUUCCCGCACUGAGGUCCCGCAUCACUCUUUUCCUUAUAAAGCAACUACGGUUCCUGGAUCAUCUGGUCCUGAAGAGCAGAACAUCAAGGAGGUGCUGACUGAGGCAGGGACACUGGCGCAUAGACUGGGUAGCUUGCUGUG